rnacentral:rRNA from 1 species
UACGUAGGAUGCAAGCGUUGUCCGGAAUUAUUGGGCGUAAAGAGCGCGCAGGCGGUAUGACAAGUCAGAUGUGAAAGAGGCCGGCUUAACCGGCAAGGGUCAUUUGAAACUGUCAGACUAGAGUGCAGCAGAGGAUAGUGGAAUUCCCGGUGUAGUGGUGAAAUGCGCAGAUAUCGGGAGGAACACCGGUAGCGAAGGCGGCACUCUGGGCCGGAACUGACGCUGAGGAGCGAAAGCGUGGGGAGCGAACAGG